rnacentral:rRNA from 1 species
UACCAGCACCCCGAGUGGUCGGGACGAUUAUUGGGCCUAAAGCAUCCGUAGCCGGUUCUGCAAGUCCCCCGUUAAAUCCAGCUGCUCAACAGAUGGGCCGCGGAGGAUACUAUAGAGCUAGGAGGCGGGAGAGGCAAGCGGUACUCGAUGGGUAGGGGUAAAAUCCGUUGAUCCAUUGAAGACCACCAGUGGCGAAGGCGGCUUGCCAGAACGCGCUCGACGGUGAGGGAUGAAAGCUGGGGGAGCAAACCGG